GAUGAAGAACGGCAGUGAAACGCGAUAGUUAAUGUGAAUUGCAGAAUUCAGUGAAUCAUCGAGUCUUUGAACGCACAUUGCGCCUUUUGGUAUUCCGAGAGGCACGUCUGUUCGAGCGUCAGUAAACCACCUUCCGGGCCGCGGUUUUUCGGGACCGCGCGCCUCGGGACGUUGGCGCGGGGCCGCGCAAAGCUGCCCCCGCUCAAACCCCCUUGAAUGAUAGCGGGCACGGCCUCCGUAUCGCGACGACUCGUAGAUAAUACCCGUCGUACCGUCGAAUGGGAGAGUUCGAGCCCCGCCUUUUUCAAACCCCGAAGGGUCCCCCGCGGACCUUUCCUGACUCUUGACCUCGGAUCAGAUGAGGAUACCCGCUGAACUUAAGCAUAUCAAUAAGCGGAGGA
rnacentral:misc_RNA from 1 species